CAAGUCGAACGGGAAAGUGGAGCAAUCCAUGAGUACAGUGGCGUACGGGUGAGUAACACGUGGGUAUCUAACUCUUAGUGGGGAAUAACCCAGGGAAACCGGGGCUAAUACCGCAUAAGCUCGAGAGAGGAAAGCAGCAAUGCGCUGAGAGAGGAGCCCGCGGCCGAUUAGCUAGUUGGUAGGGUAAAGGCCUACCAAGGCAGAGAUCGGUAGCCGGCCUGAGAGGGCACACGGCCACACUGGCACUGAAACACGGGCCAGACUCCUACGGGAGGCAGCAGCGGGGAAUCUUGCACAAUGGGGGCAACCCUGAUGCAGCGACGCCGCGUGAGCGAUGAAGCCCUUCGGGGUGUAAAGCUCUUUCGUCAGGGAAGAUAAUGACGGUACCUGGAGAAGCAGCUGCGGCUAACUACGUGCCAGCAGCCGCGGUAAUACGUAGGCAGCGAGCGUUGUUCGGAGUUACUGGGCGUAAAGGGUGUGUAGGCGGUUCUUUAAGUUUGGUGUGAAAUCUCCCGGCUCAACCGGGAGGGUGCGCCGAAUACUGAGGGACUAGAGUACGGGAGAGGAAAGUGGAAUUCCUGGUGUAGCGGUGAAAUGCGUAGAUAUCAGGAGGAACACCGGUGGUGUAGACGGCUUUCUGGACCGUAACUGACGCUGAGACACGAAAGCGUGGGUAGCAAACAGGAUUAGAUACCCUGGUAGUCCACGCCCUAAACGAUGCAUAUUUGGUGUGGGUCAUUCAGUUGAUCCGUGCCGGAGCUAACGCGUUAAAUAUGCCGCCUGGGGAGUACAGUCGCAAGGCUGAAACUCAAAGGAAUUGACGGGGGCCCGCACAAGCGGUGGAGCAUGUGGUUCAAUUCGACGCAACGCGAAGAACCUUACCUGGGCUCGAACGGCUUCUCA
rnacentral:rRNA from 1 species